UCUACUGUGGUUCGAAAACCUCCCACAUUAAAAAACUAAGGAAUU
rfam:Neisseria weaveri LMG 5135 NW5135.2_22, whole genome shotgun sequence.